rnacentral:rRNA from 1 species
AGUCGAGGGGUAACAGAAUAGCUUGCUAUUGCUGACGACCGGCGCACGGGUGCGUAACGCGUAUACAAUCUACCUUAUACAGGAGGAUAGCCCUAAGAAAUUGGGAUUAAUACUCCAUAGUAAUUUGAAUUCGCAUGGAUUUAAGUUUAAAACUUCGGUGGUAUAAGAUGAGUAUGCGUCCUAUUAGCUAGUUGGUAAGGUAACGGCUUACCAAGGCAACGAUAGGUAGGGGGCCUGAGAGGGUUAUCCCCCACACUGGUACUGAGACACGGACCAGACUCCUACGGGAGGCAGCAGUGAGGAAUAUUGGUCAAUGGAGGCAACUCUGAACCAGCCAUGCCGCGUGAAGGAAGAAUGUCCUAUGGAUUGUAAACUUCUUUUAUUUGGGAAGAAACCCAUCUACGUGUAGAUGUCUGACGGUACCAAAUGAAUAAGGACCGGCUAACUCCGUGCCAGCAGCCGCGGUAAUACGGAGGGUCCAAGCGUUAUCCGGAAUCAUUGGGUUUAAAGGGUUCGCAGGCGGUUUAUUAAGUCAGUGGUGAAAGCCUACAGCUCAACUGUAGAACUGCCAUUGAUACUGAUAGACUUGGAUAUAGUUGGAGUAGGCGGAAUGUGUAGUGUAGCGGUGAAAUGCUUAGAUAUUACACAGAACACCGAUAGCGAAGGCAGCUUACUAAACUAUUAUUGACGCUCAUGAACGAAAGCGUGGGGAGCGAACAGGAUUAGAUACCCUGGUAGUCCACGCCGUAAACUAUGAUUACUCGUUAUUGGCGAUACACAGUCAGUGACUAAGCGAAAGUGAUAAGUAAUCCACCUGGGGAGUAC